GCUCUGCGCAAGCACCGACCGCCCCCCUCCCCGAGGAGCUGCGGUGGGAGGACGCGGGGACAGCGGUGAGGGACAAGCCUCGGAGCACGCGGACCCGGCUGCUCGCCCGCAGCCGCGGGGCUGACUAACCCGCUCUGGGAGGCUGAGGACCAGUCGUGCAGACAGCGGCAGCGGCGCGAUUGCUUUCCACCGCUGCGCCCCCGGUUCUCUGCGGCCACGGAGGGACGUGCGCGCGUGUCGGAUUGCAGAGUUACCCUAGUGACGGGAUGCGGAGCGUUUACUCCUGUACGUGGUGGGGGUGGCUGGUGACAGUCGCCCACUCUCAGGCGUCCCCAGUGGGACCCUCUUCCCUGGAUCCUUCUACUCCACGGCCACACAGGCAGCCGAGCCGGCAUGCUCCUGCAACCUGCAAUCAGAGCAGGCGUCGGUGACUUACAGGAACGGUUCUGAGUUUUGCGGAUCUUUCAUUGUUGCCUCAUUUGGGUAUGAGGGACCCCCGCAGUCUGUGGAUUCUUUGAAUAGAAGAACCCCUCCACCCUUCCCUGCUUAAUGUUGCUAAUCGUGUGUGGCUAAACUGCUUGUAAAUCCCGAACAAAAAGCGAUCUGUGUAAACUAUUUUUGUUAACUGGGAAAGUUAUUGGUGGGUCGAAGAAAUCGUUGAACGUACAAAGAAUAAAAAAACCUAAGAAGGAGUUCACUGAAUGAACCCAGUAAUAUUUUUGCUCUCGAAGAAUAAAAUAAUUUCGGGACCCAAACCUGAAAAUGGCUUUAAAAAAUUACAAGGUAAACGGUGGGUAUAGUCCGUAUGAAUCUCGCAUCAUCUUUAGUAACCUCUGGGCUCUAUAACCAGACAAGGAAUGAGAUGUCUUACAAUUCCAAUUUUAAGUGAGAAGAAAUUAUCUGCUUCUCAAGAGAAAGAACAAAAAGCAUUUAAAACAUCGAAAAGCGUAUUUUCAACUUUAAAGUUAGCAUGUAAGGUCACAGUUUGUGACAGGAGAAUUACACGAAGGUAGCUUAAGAAAGAAGAAAAAUGUUGCUAAGCAAUCUAAUUGGUUCUGAAGUUUUGAUUUUUUUUUCAGCUGUUUGCUUUGAAAUGAACAGUUACUCCUGAGUGAGGGACACAGUAGGAAGCCCCCCCACCAAAGUCUCAGGAAGACACAUUGUGUCAAUGUUCAAAUGUUUUGGAAACCUUAUGUGGUGUAAAAUGCCUGCCCAAAAUUGUUUCAUCUCAAGUAGGCCUGCUACCUGAUUUAUUUACACGUGCUAGUUCUUUACUACUCUGCCUUUUUGUAGUGGUUGUUGAUGGUUUUAAUCCUUCAAGUUUAGUGAUUUAUCACCUUAAAGGUUAAUGUUGUAGUGUGCUCAUUACAUGGAUAUGUUCACUUUGUGAGAUUUUAUCAAACUGUACAGUUAAUGAUUUGUGCUUUUGGUAAAUUUAAACAGUAAACAAUAAUGAGAAGAAAGAAAAAUAAUAAAAUGAUAAUUUAAAGUA